AGGUAUGUGCUGUUAAAGCUCCUGGCUUUGGGGAGAACAGGAAAGCAAACUUGCCGGACCUUGCUAUCCUUACUGGAGGAGAAGUCAUUACGGAAGAGCAAGGAAUGAAUCUUCAGAAGUUUGACCCUCAGAUGUUUGGUAGAUGCAACAAGGUAGCUAUGUAAGGAUGACACUGUUAUUCUUGAUGGGGCUGGAGACAACAAACCCAUUGAAGAGACGGCAGA